GCUUUCCUGCCGGCGAGUGGCGAACGGGUGAGUAAUACAUCGGAACGUGCCCUGUAGUGGGGGAUAACUAGUCGAAAGAUUAGCUAAUGCCGCAUACGACCUGAGGGUGAAAGUGGGGGACCGCAAGGCCUCAUGCUAUAGGAGCGGCCGAUGUCUGAUUAGCUAGUUGGUGGGGUAAAGGCCUACCAAGGCGACGAUCAGUAGCUGGUCUGAGAGGACGAUCAGCCACACUGGGACUGAGACACGGCCCAGACUCCUACGGGAGGCAGCAGUGGGGAAUUUUGGACAAUGGGGGCAACCCUGAUCCAGCAAUGCCGCGUGUGUGAAGAAGGCCUUCGGGUUGUAAAGCACUUUUGUCCGGAAAGAAAUCGCACUGGUUAAUACCUGGUGUGGAUGACGGUACCGGAAGAAUAAGGACCGGCUAACUACGUGCCAGCAGCCGCGGUAAUACGUAGGGUCCAAGCGUUAAUCGGAAUUACUGGGCGUAAAGCGUGCGCAGGCGGUUGUGCAAGACCGAUGUGAAAUCCCCGGGCUUAACCUGGGAAUUGCAUUGGUGACUGCACGGCUAGAGUGUGUCAGAGGGGGGUAGAAUUCCACGUGUAGCAGUGAAAUGCGUAGAGAUGUGGAGGAAUACCGAUGGCGAAGGCAGCCCCCUGGGAUAACACUGACGCUCAUGCACGAAAGCGUGGGGAGCAAACAGGAUUAGAUACCCUGGUAGUCCACGCCCUAAACGAUGUCAACUAGUUGUUGGGGAUUCAUUUCCUUAGUAACGUAGCUAACGCGUGAAGUUGACCGCCUGGGGAGUACGGUCGCAAGAUUAAAACUCAAAGGAAUUGACGGGGACCCGCACAAGCGGUGGAUGAUGUGGAUUAAUUCGAUGCAACGCGAAAAACCUUACCU
rnacentral:rRNA from 1 species